rnacentral:lncRNA from 7 species
ACAGUGCUGCAGAUGUAGUGUUAUUGGUGCUACAGUGACUCCACAGCAGUUUCUGCAUCAAAGGAAAACAGGGCCCGAAUCAUGGCAGGAGGAAGAGCUGAAACACUAGAAACUCUCUCUGCAAAGGAAGGCCCUCUCCUCAUGACAAGGUUCUCCAUCACUGGAAUGAUACUAAGGAACAAAAUUCAGAUUUUCUUCUAUUAAACGCACUGAACUACAGUGAACUGAUGCCCAGCACUGAAGCAGCUUUACAGAGCUGUCAGGCACAAGCUUCCAUUAUUUGAGCAUACCAGGCUGGAGGAAUCCUUCGUGCGUUUUGGCACUGCUAGACCUUGUCAUCUCCUCAGUAUGAGAACAAGAAAAUGGGGAUGUAGUCAUAAGAAGACAGCAGCUGCCAGUAACAGAAUAGACCCUGUAGAGCUCAGUCAUGCUUAGAGAACCACUUCCCUACAUGAUAUUCUGGCAAGAGUAACCAGGAAAAUCAGAAGAUGCUGUUCCAGAUGUCAUAAAGACCACAGUAUAAAAAAAAACCCAACAUAAUCCUGCUUUGAAAAUUCACUGUAAAGAAAGGAAAAGACCGACUGCAUCUCUCUUGUAAUGAAAUCUUGCUUUGAGCCACAGGUCUCUGGGUGUCAAAGUAACUACUGAAGGAGCUUUCCUUUCAUGAAGAGAAAAACUUCAUCUCGGUAUGAAUGAUAUGUAUCCCCUAUUGUAUUGGAGGAUGAGAAAUCUGUGACAAAGCCCAUGCCUUUGGUGGUGCCCUGUCUACUAUGGAUCCCAGGAUAAACCCAGCAGGAGACAUGCUUUUGGCACUCUUAGUUGCCUCUGAAAGACACCUUCAGCUCACUUCCAAGCUACUUGCUUUCAAUGGCUUUGAUAAGAAUUCCUGGGAGAAUGAAGGAAGCACUUUCUUUUUGGAUACCACCUGAGGACCUUGCCUAUACCUUCUUACUGGUUUAAGAGGAAAGCAUGGGGUAUCCAGAAUUCCCCAUUAUACGUGACAAGCAGAAUUGCUUCUGGAAUUUGUGUCUGUCUGUGUACAGCACUACAAGGCUUCUGUCUGAGAGGAGGAAGGUUCAUGUAGUUUUAAAGUACCCAAAGCAGAGAAGAUAAUAACUGACGUUAGUCCUUGUAGUCUACACAAAAGAGUGAUCAGAAGGCUCUCAUAACCGGAGGAACAGAAGAUGCAGACUCAAGCUCAGUGCUCAGAUUCACAGUAUUUAAGCUUGUAUAACUAGAUACACAAAUGGACCGUGGUAGCAUAUUGCCAUGCUAGACACUGAAGCCCAUAUUCAUAUAUCACUGAAACCCUCAAACCCACUUGCUGAGGUCCUGCUCUAUGGCCCAAGAUGCUGAUAUUUCUGAUGGCUGGCACUCACAUAAUCCUCCAAUCAAUGUACCGCAAAAUAUCUGAUUUGCAAUAAAAGGUUUUC